UGAUAAUUCAAUAGUACUUUGCCUGAAGAAAGAAAAAUGGCUUUGCAUGAAAAGGGAGGAAGGGGACAGUCCCCAAGUUACAAGUUUCCACUGCAAGAGAAACAAGAGCAGCUACCACAAAAUUGUAAAGCUUCAUGCAUGGAGCAGUUAUCCUUCUCUAGUACAAGGGAAAACUCCUGUCUUCAGUGAUGGCAGCACAACCAAGCAGCUGGUUUCUUCUUCAUUUUUUGGACUGUAUCAGUCUCAUAGCUCAUUAAUUUGACUAUCCAUGUCUCUUCACAAAACCUCACAGAACAGAAAAGAAGUAUCUCACCGUAACCUCCACUCCGGCACAGGAAAGGAUUUGCAUUGUUCUGUUUGGAAAGCAUUUCAAGCAUAGAUCACUCUUUGUGGUAACUAUCCUAAAUUAAAGCUCUACCCCAAAGGACAGUAAAGUUUAAUUUUGUUUAUCAGGCUGCAAGCAGACAGAAUAAAUACUUCUUUGUUUCUGCACACCCAGGGAGCCAGUUAAACUAUAUCUUGCUGGGCAUUUGCACAAGGUAUUGAAGUGGUCAACUUCCUUUUACAAAUAAGGAGAUCGAAAGAAGGAUACAGACAAAAGAAAACACAAAGCCAGCUGGCAUCAAAAUUUUAAUAAAACUCAGAAACCACCAGCAUCAAAACUCCUGCUUGUCAUACACCUAUCUUUUAUUCAGAAGACUAGGAGAAGUGACUUUACUGAUUCUGUCUUUCUGACAAAUUGCAUGGCAAUAUGCCACCAUUUUGAAAAGGGUGUUUCCAGAAGUGAAUGGGCUAUUUGGCGGUCAUUUGCUUUGGAAUUACAUCAGAAACAAAGCGGUAUCCCAAAGCUGUCCUGGGAAACUCUGUGGAUGCCAGUAUGAACUUUGAAACAUCUGUCAUCAUUCAGCAAGAUUUUCUGUUUGGGGCAGUGACUCCACAACAGCCUUGGUCCAUCCCGAGUACACUGUGCCACAUGCUGAUGCACAAGGCUGCUGUGAAACAUUCCUGGAAGGAAAAGGCCUCUGUGUUUCCCACCUCAUCCUUUCAGCAGCAUCGGCAGUGGGCAGAAGCCAACAGGCCAGCUCCUGCCCAGUUGGCACAGUCACACAGCAUGCGGCCUGGUCUGAAACAAACAUGCCUGCUUCCUCUGGAGCUGCUCCUACCUCCUGCAUCAGUACUCUCUGUGCAGACCAACUGCUCCAACAACCCAGUACACAUGUUUGACUUUGCAGGAUGGCAUGUGGGACCUGAGAAAAUGUUGUGAAGAAAUUCUGCAGCAAGUGACAGUGCAGUUGAAGGACCUGGCAGACAAAGGCAGUUUGAUCUGGAGAACAAAGGGGAAUGACAACACUGGGAAGAAGUGAAUCAAAAGAAAGAACUGGUAAAAGAAACAACAGUGGAGCUGCAAUUGAGUGUCAGUACUCCCUACUACUGAAUGGCUGAUACUGUGAUUCGAAGGAAGAAAACAGGAGAGCCUGGACACACAAGAUUCCCUAUAGAUUUUUAAAGCUGUAGAUUGCACUCUAUAAAAUUUAUUAGUCCUCAUCAUUUGAGAGGCAGUACAGCUUCUUCUAAUAACCUUAGAAAGUGUGCCAUAGGUACUUUAAUUUUCAGUAAUCAUAAAUAUGCAGUGCGAACUCAAUUACCAGUUUUGGCUACACCCACAAUUGCUGGUGCAAGUCAUCACAGUCUACAAGGGGAAACAAUUCCUACGAAUCCAUGCACA
rnacentral:lncRNA from 1 species